UCGAGCGAACGGACGAGAAGCUUGCUUCUCUGAUGUUAGCGGCGGACGGGUGAGUAACACGUGGAUAACCUACCUAUAAGACUGGGAUAACUUCGGGAAACCGGAGCUAAUACCGGAUAAUAUUUUGAACCGCAUGGUUCAAAAGUGAAAGACGGUCUUGCUGUCACUUAUAGAUGGAUCCGCGCUGCAUUAGCUAGUUGGUAAGGUAACGGCUUACCAAGGCAACGAUGCAUAGCCGACCUGAGAGGGUGAUCGGCCACACUGGAACUGAGACACGGUCCAGACUCCUACGGGAGGCAGCAGUAGGGAAUCUUCCGCAAUGGGCGAAAGCCUGACGGAGCAACGCCGCGUGAGUGAUGAAGGUCUUCAGAUCGUAAAACUCUGUUAUUAGGGAAGAACAUAUGUGUAAGUAACUGUGCACAUCUUGACGGUACCUAAUCAGGAAGCCACGGCUAACUACGUGCCAGCAGCCGCGGUAAUACGUAGGUGGCAAGCGUUAUCCGGAAUUAUUGGGCGUAAAGCGCGCGUAGGCGGUUUUUUAAGUCUGAUGUGAAAGCCCACGGCUCAACCGUGGAGGGUCAUUGGAAACUGGAAUACUUGAGUGCAGAAGAGGAAAGUGGAAUUCCAUGUGUAGCGGUGAAUGCGCAGAGAUAUGGAGGA
rnacentral:rRNA from 1 species